rnacentral:rRNA from 1 species
UAACACGUGGGCAACCUGCCCCUGACUUUGGGAUAACUCCUCGAAAGAGGAGCUAAUACCGGAUACGAACUCCUUGGGCAUCCUUGGAGUUGGAAAGUUUUUCGGUCAGGGAUGGGCCCGCGGCCUAUCAGCUAGUUGGUGAGGUAACGGCUCACCAAGGCGACGACGGGUAGCCGGCCUGAGAGGGCGACCGGCCACACUGGGACUGAGACACGGCCCAGACUCC